rnacentral:rRNA from 1 species
UGGGGAAUAUUGCGCAAUGGGGGGAACCCUGACGCAGCAACGCCGCGUGAAGGAUGAAGGUUUUCGGAUCGUAAACUUCUUUGAUGAGGGACGAAAUAAAUGACGGUACCUCAAAAACAAGCCACGGCUAACUACGUGCCAGCAGCCGCGGUAAUACGUAGGUGGCGAGCGUUGUCCGGAAUUACUGGGUGUAAAGGGCGUGUAGGCGGGAAUGCAAGUCAGAUGUGAAAUACCGAGGCUUAACUUCGGGGCUGCAUCUGAAACUGUGUUUCUUGAGUAUCGGAGAGGAAAGUGGAAUUCCCAGUGUAGCGGUGAAAUGCGUAGAUAUUGGGAGGAACACCAGUGGCGAAGGCGACUUUCUGGACGGUAACUGACGCUGAGGCGCGAAAGCGUGGGGAGCAAACAGG